rnacentral:rRNA from 1 species
UACGUAGGGAGCGAGCGUUGUCCGAAUUCACUGGGCGUAAAGCGCGCGUAGGCGGGUUCUUAAGUUGGUGGUGAAAUCCCGAGGCUCAACCUCGGAACUGCCUCCAAAACUGGGAACCUUGAGGUAUGGAGGGGGAAGUGGAAUUCCUGGUGUAGCGGUGAAAUGCGUAGAUAUCAGGAGGAACACCCGUGGCGAAGGCGGCUUCCUGGCCAUAUCCUGACGCUGAGGUGCGAAAGCUAGGGUAGCGAACGGG